AGUUUAAGAUGUAUCAGCUACACUCUUACCUCUCUGAUGGCUUUGAAACAGAUGUGCUGCUGAAUAUGGAGACUUGAUGCUACUUCACAAGGAUUUGAAUUGUGCACUCGAAAGACUUGAAGAGGAACAUCACCUGGUUCUGGGAGAUGAAGAUACAAGCUGUGCAAGUAGACCCCAGUUUUUGGAAGCAUUAUAAAACGUGUGGUUUGCUGACUACUCCACUUAGUGAGGAGACAAACUCUGCGGAGAAAAACAUCCUGAGCCAGGAUAGAGGACCCUCAUCUGGAUUUUAAUUCCUUAUAUAGCACCACAGCUGGGCUAGGACCAUGGAAACAAGCUGCUCUGGGCACCCACCACUGAAGAACUGAAGACUGAGGACCAAUGGGACGCCGCUGGAUCCAUGGUGGCUUUGGGAGAUGAAGCUAUAAGCUGUGCAAGGGUGCCCUAGAUGGAGGGUUCCUGUGCCUCCAGCAUGAGCAGCUGUUUCACCUGUUACUGAUGUUUAUGAACACAAGGCUUUCCUAAUUGCAGGCUUCUGAGGCAUUUCUCAUUGUGAUGGCUGCUGCAGUGGAGCCGUGGGGUGAUGCGGUUGGUGGUGCUACCAGCAGAAAUUUGAGAAUGGGAGAACUGCUGGAUGCUCUGACAUCUGCUUGAGUGAAGCUUGCGGGCAGUUUGUGUGAAAAACAAGACUAACAUGUCUGAGGGAAGGAUCGUGCUGUCUGCAACCUCACUGGGUAAGGAGGAGGCAGCUUUGAAACUACUGCAAGAAGAACUGAGAAGGUGGAAGACUGACGAACGAUGGGUUACACUUGCAUGAACAGCAUUAAAAAGCGAAGAGGUUUUUUACCACACUGGUAAUGUUUGCUUGAUACUGAUUG
rnacentral:lncRNA from 1 species